GCUAGCGUAGCUUAAAUCAAAGCAUAAUGCUGAAGACGUUAAGAUGGCCCCUAGAAAGGCCCGUUAGCA
rnacentral:tRNA from 1 species